AUUGAUGUCUGGUAAAACAGAGGUGUCAAAAGUAUUCACAUUCAAUACUCAGGUAGAAGUACAGACACUAGGGUUUAAAAAUACUUCAGUAGAAGUUGAAGAAUAAACUCAAGCUCUUUUACUCAAGUAAAAUUCAAAAAGUACUUAAAGUAUAAAAGUAUAAGUAAUGUAAUGGGGGAAAAUGCCAUUAAGGACAAAAGCUUAGGCUGCGCCAAAGGGCCCUGUAGUGCACUACCCCACCUCC